UACGUAGGGUGCGAGCGUUAAUCGGAAUUACUGGGCGUAAAGUGUGCGCAGGCGGCCGAGCAAGUCGAGUGUGAAAGCCCCGAGCUUAACUUGGGAACUGCGCUCGAAACUACUUGGCUAGAGUGUGGCAGAGGGAGGUGGAAUUCCACGUGUAGCGGUGAAAUGCGUAGAGAUGCGGAGGAACACCGAUGGCGAAGGCAACCCCCUGGGCUGACACUGACGCUCAGGCACGAAAGCGUGGGUAGCAAACGGG
rnacentral:rRNA from 1 species